rnacentral:rRNA from 1 species
UAAACAUUGACAGUAAACUACACCCACUGUCCGCCUGGGAACUACGAGCACCAGCUUAAAACCCAAAGGACUUGGCGGUGCUUUAGACCCACCUAGAGGAGCCUGUCCUAGAACCGAUAAUCCCCGUUAAACCUCACCCUUCCUUGUUCUUUUCAGCCUAUAUACCACCGUCGUCAGCUCACCCUGUGAAGGCCCAAUAGUAAGCGUAAUCGGCACAGCCCCAAACGUCAGGUCGAGGUGUAGCCUAUGGAAGGGGAAGAGAUGGGCUACAUUCACUGAUACAGUGAAUACGGAUGAUCACCCUGAAACGGGUGUCUGAAGGAGGAUUUAGCAGUAAGCAAAAAAUAGAGUGUUUUGCUGAAGUUGGC